rnacentral:misc_RNA from 1 species
AUUCCGUAGGUGAACCUGCGGAAGGAUCAUUAUUGUAUAACCGAGGUGCGAGGGCUGUCGCUGACCCGAAAGGUCGUGCACGCCCGAGUGCCCUCACACACAUCCAUCUCACCCCUAUGUGCACCACCGCGUGGGUCCCCCUUUGGCUUGUUCGGAGGGGGGCUUACGUUUUCACACAAACUUUGUAUGCAGUGUAGAAUGUAUUUUUUGUUUUUGCGAUCACGCAAUCAAUACAACUUUCAACAACGGAUCUCUUGGCUCAC